UUCCGGUUGAUCCUGCCGGACCCCACUGCUAUCGAGAUGGGACUAAGGUAUGCUAGUCGAACGACCAGAACUAUGUCUGGAAAUGGCACACUGCUCAGUAACACGUAGCUAACCUACCCUUAGGACGUGGAUACCCCCGAGAAAUUGGGGUUAAUCCGCGAUAGGUGUAAUGUCCUGGAAUGGUAUUACGCCUAAAGGUGUAUCAUACAUGUUUGAUAUACGCCUAAGGAUGGGGCUGCGGCCGAUCAGGCUGUUGGUGAGGUAAUGGCUCACCAAACCUUUGACCGGUACGGGCCAUGAGAGUGGUAGCCCGGAGAUGGACACUGAGACAAGGGUCCAGGCCCUAAGGGGCGCAGCAACCGCGAAACCUCCACAAUGCACUCACGUGCGAUGGGGCUAUCUCGAGUGCCACCUGAUGAAGGUGGCUUUUCCUAGGUCUUCAAAGCCUUGGGAAUAAGAGGGGGGCAAGACUGGUGUCAGCCGCCGCGGUAACACCAGCCCCUCGAGUGGUGGGGAUGAUUAUUUGGCCUAAAGCGUCCGUAGCCGGCCGAGCAAGUCUUCCGUUAAAUCCAGCGUCUCAAGCGUUGGACUGCGGGAGAUACUACACGGCUAGAGAGUGGGAGAGGUCAGCGGUAUUCUGGGGGUAGGGGCGAAAUCCUUUGAUCCCCGGAGGACCACCAGUGGCGAAGGCUGCUGACUAGAACACGUCUGACGGUCAGGGACGAAAGCUGGGGUAGCGAACCGGAUUAGAUACCCGGGUAGUCCCAGCCGUAAACGAUGCAUGCUAGGUGUUGGGUUGGCCA
rnacentral:rRNA from 1 species